CAAUUAGUGGACAAAACUUUGCUGAAUCUAAAAGCACUGCUAAAGAAGCUAGCAUUAUAAUUGCUCCGCCGAGGAAUCCAAGUUGCGGUCCUGGAAAAAGAUGGGCAAAUGGUUCUUGCAGGCGAAUUUUUAGAGGAUAAUUUAAAAAAUGUUUCAACAAAGUCAUAGAUCACAUCGAAGAGAAACCGAAGGAGGCUAAUAUCAUACAAGCGCCGCUAAGAAAAUUUGAAAAUAAACCGUGCCCUGGAAAGAAACAGUUUGCUAAUGGAAGAUGUAGAAUCACUUUUGGAAGAGGAUAAUACAUUUCAAAAACCAUUCGAUCAGAUAAUUACCAAUAAAGACAUCAUGGCUGUUUUCACUUAAAUAAUUGGAUAUAUUCGGAUAUUACUUUGAAAAGAAGAUAUAUUACCCGAAACAAACACUUCAGUAUGUUUCC